CUAGAUUUGGACGCGAGUUCAACGUAUUUUUCCUACUCGCACGUUUAUUGUUUUUUUUGUCAUCUCUCUGUUCCAAACGACGCCGUUUUGUUCUUAGUUUUUUCACUACAUACAAAACCGCUUUGUCGUUCUUGCACUUCUGCAGUGCAUGUAUCUCCACUGUUGUUUCUGACAAGCCACCUGAAACUUUUAAGUUGUCGGUGUUUACUUCCUUGGGUCGCCUUCCUCAGCUUGGGUUAGCUUUCGUACUCUUCUUCUCUUUGAAUCUGGGUAAUUUUGUGCAGUCCUCCCUUCGUUCUUUGUCGUUGUGUGCUUCUCUUAUGUUGUUCUUCAAUUUUGUUACACGGUCAUUUUUCUUGGGUUGUCUGACCUCCUCUCUCUUCUUUGCAGGUUUUGGUGUUGGUUUUGAAGUAUCUCUACGGGUGAUUGGCGUCGCUUUCACAGCUCUCUCCUCUCUUUUCUGACCAUCGCUUCUCCGCCGAUCUGUGAAAAAAAAAUCCAGAGAGGUGACUCUUUCAGGUCAUGGUUCUAGAUUUCAUUUUGUUAUAUUUUUUCCCUCUUUCAGAUGGUGAUUUCAUUUUGUUUGCAUACUCGUGAAAGUGUUUGUUCCCCAUUUUUGUUUCCCGUUUUUUGCUUUCGCGUCUCAUUUUUCAGAACCGCUCCUUUUUCUGUUUCGUUUUUUCCUUCCCACAGCUCUGUUCGCGGGGCGACGUCGUCUCGGUUCGUUUUUCCUCUGCUGAGCUCGCGUCUGGCACAUCUGCUCUCAACUACUUUGGUUAGUGCACUGCUGCGGUGCAUGUAUGUCCGUUGUACGUUGCGUUCACUAUACUGACAAUCCAACUGAAGCUGUUAAGUUGUCGGCACCCCAAAAUUCUACACUCUUCCUGAGAAGCUAUUAUUCUUUCUUCCUCACUCCCGCACUCACAACUACAACUUUUUUGUUUGGCUUUUUUCACCGAGGGCGAGGUUCGGCUAAUUUCGUAAACUCCUUCAUUGAUUUCGUUGGGUGUUUGAUUUAGUUCGCUCAUCUUCACUUAUUGUCGGUGUGGCAUCUGUCAUUUUUUUAUCUUCGUUGUCGUUCUCUUCGUGAGCUUUGAUUAUUUGUGUAACGACGUCCAUGUAUCCAAGCUUAUCUGGGUCCAAUUGUUCCAAGAUUAAAGCUGCAUACUACCAUACUCCUCUGCCCUUUCUUUAAUGUUUGAGGGUUUAUUAGCAGAACCACCCAAGGGCAAUGAUGAAAGCAAUAUCAAGUAAACAAAGCUCAUAAACCAUAACAUUAAAGAAACAUAUGUCGAUUAGAGACCAUCCUGGACCAUCUUUCCUUGGUUUUGUUGUUAUUUGGGAGUUGUUAGUCACUGCCUACUUCCAUUUCUAUUUCCCAGUCAUUCCAUUUGCUUCCUUCGUAUUUUGACUUUUUUCUCAUUGUUGUUCUCUCUGUAGGGAUAAUUUAUGUUCUUAUUGGUUUUUCUAAAGCAUAAUAGGUAUCCUUUUAUGGGCCAAGAACCACUGCUUUGUCAUUUUUUUUCAAAAUUACUAAUUUUUUAUGGAUUAGUUAGUUGUCGAUUUAUACCAUGCUAUUGAAUAUCAAUUUUUUCUAAUUGUUUGGUGCUGUGAGGGAAGCAGGACUUCACCAGGUAAUCGCUUUUCUGAAGAACUUAUCCAGGGCUGCAGAUGCUUAGGAAUAUCCUUGUAAUAUUUGUUUGUUUAUCUUUUCUCUGAUGAGAUGGUUCACAUGCCUCUCUUGCCUACAAUAUGCAGGAUUUGAGUCCUACUUGGUGGGUGGAUGUGUGAGACAUUUGCUUUUGAAGAAAACACCUAAACAUCAAACAUUAUCACCACAGCAAAACUGAAAAAGGUUUUCAUUAUUAUGCGAGACAAAAAUACACACCUGAUAGGAUGAGAGGGUGUUUCCUAUUUUAAUGAUAAGAGGUUGUUUUUCAAUAUUGACUUUUGUGUUGAUUUGUAAUGAUUUAUUACAGGUGCUGUUUUAAUCGUCCUAUGAUUGUUGGUUCAGGAUUUCCUAUAUCGGUAACAAAGAAAAAUGGAAUCAUCACAUAAGCCAUAGCUUGAUCAGACAGAGUCUAAGCUCAGCUUCUUAUUCUGAUUAAUAGGCUGGUUUGCGAAAGUUUCUGUACAUUUAAUUAAGAGUGUAUAACAUAGAUCCAACAAAUUCAAACAAAGAUGAAGCAAUAGUGGUAUGCAAAAAAGAACCAUCAUGUAAGUUCACUUUAUCAUGUUUGAGCUUUAGGUUUUCUUAUUUAUUUCCUGUUUUAUAGCGAGUUGACUGAGAAUCUGGCAUUGGAGGUUACGGUUGUGGCAACCACAUGAUAACGUUUAGUAUCAUUGUUGGUAAUGGUUGCUGGAAGCCUAUCCUGUCAAAUAUGAAAAAACUGCAACUCAAUUAACUCUUGUAUAUCAUUCAGUGACUGGAGGACAGAAAUUCGCCAGCAACCAAGCAUGCUAGAGCCGAUGAUAAUUAUCAAAAUUUAUUUUCCUCCUUCCCGGUAAGUCAGUCCACCUUAUACCUUUUCUACAAUCAUUUGUGUUUUGGUUUGUGAAGGUGUUCAUCAAUGUUCCAUGGUGGUAGCUUAUCUUCAAUAGGAUGAUCAGCUCCUUCUUGACAAAGGGGACCAAGAGCAAGUUUGAGUGGGAUACAACAGAGUGAGAAGGAUCCUUUCGAGGCCUCCAAAAGAACUUAUAGGAACUCGACUUCGAAGUGCUAAUCCAAAAAGAUGGUCAAGAAAGCAUGGAAAACAAGCAACCCAUGAAGAAAUAUAGAGUACUCUAAGUUCUGAAGAUCAUGUCUAAUGUCGGUAAUAUUUUUUUUUUUACAUUUGCUAACUAACAUACUAUCAACAUGAUCGAUUGUACUACAUGUGUAUCUAACAACCCCGCAGCAACGCGCGGGCACGACACUAGUAUAUAUAU